UGGAAGGUGAGUUGGUAUGGCGUAUGGCUACCAACCUGAAGGUUGCGGGUUUGAUUCCCGCCCUUUUGCACAUCAA